GAUGAACGCUGGCGGCGUGCCUAAUACAUGCAAGUCGAGCGAACAGACGAGGAGCUUGCUCCUCUGACGUUAGCGGCGGACGGGUGAGUAACACGUGGAUAACCUACCUAUAAGACUGGGAUAACUUCGGGAAACCGGAGCUAAUACCGGAUAAUAUAUUGAACCGCAUGGUUCAAUAGUGAAAGACGGUUUUGCUGUCACUUAUAGAUGGAUCCGCGCCGCAUUAGCUAGUUGGUAAGGUAACGGCUUACCAAGGCAACGAUGCGUAGCCGACCUGAGAGGGUGAUAGGCCACACUGGAACUGAGACACGGUCCAGACUCCUACGGGAGGCAGCAGUAGGGAAUCUUCCGCAAUGGGCGAAAGCUUGACGGAGCAACGCCGCGUGAGUGAUGAAGGUCUUCGGAUCGUAAAACUCUGUUAUUAGGGAAGAACAAAUGUGUAAGUAACUAUGCACGUCUUGACGGUACCUAAUCAGAGAGCCACGGCUAACUACGUG
rnacentral:rRNA from 1 species